GCCGGGCUGGCACAAUUGGUUAGCGCGUGAGACUCUUAAUCUCAAGGUUGCGGGUUCAAGUCCCGCGUCCGGCU